rnacentral:lncRNA from 1 species
AUGUGCAACGUGAUUCAAGAAAAACACGGGGAAGGCGGGAGAUGGCAAUUGAAGACGAUGAGCAAAUCGAGAACAAGGU